rnacentral:tRNA from 1 species
GGGCGUGUAGCUCAUCUGGUCAGAGCGUCGCAUUGACAUUGCGGAGGUAACAGGUUCGAUCCCUGUCACGCCCA